rnacentral:misc_RNA from 1 species
UUUGUUAUGACAAUUUUAUGAGAUUAAUAUAGUUUGAGAAUUAGUUCUCUUUCCCCUAAGGAUUUGUCCUUGUUUGCCUUCGAUCUUUUCUGGUGCUACAUAACAAGCCCGUUGAUGAGCUAAUAGCCAAACUUAAAUGAGCUAUUCAUGUGCAUAAAUAAACCACGUCCAACGUUGUUCAGCUCUUUUUAUUAAAUUAGUUUCAGAACUAGACUCUGGAUUUACUAACAUAAACUAAAGGGCUUGAAAAAGUCUUCUAUCAUAUCAUGUAGACGUUGAGCAUCCAAGUUGGUCACAAACUUCUUGGCUUGCAGCCCAAUUUCUUAUCUUGGAAGAUGAUGGUAUAGUUUUAAGUUAGCAAAGAAUAUGCCAUGUAUCUAAUGAUAUGGAAAUAAAUAAAUAAAUAAAUAAGCAACAGGAGCAUGGUUAAACUUUUCGUGGGUCAUCAAUAAUCUCAUUCAUGCCUCAAUAGGUGCUAUAUCAUGUAGCAUUUAGGAUGUUUUUUCUGAUUGAUACAGGCAAUUGAUUAUAGAGAUCUAAAAUUGUCCGCAUACCUUUUAUUUGAAAUGUAUAUAGCAGAUAAAAUGCUUACCUUCCAUGGCAGGUUUGUGCAACAAUUUUCCGGA